rnacentral:rRNA from 1 species
CAGUAGCCACGGUAAUACGGAGGGGGCUAGCGUUGUUCGGAAUUACUGGGCGUAAAGCGCACGUAGGCGGCUUGGUAAGUUAGAGGUGAAAGCCUGGAGCUCAACUCCAGAAUUGCCUUUAAGACUGCCGAGCUAGCAGGUGAGAGAGGUAAGUGGAAUUCCGAGUGUAGAGGUGAAAUUCGUAGAUAUUCGGAAGAACACCAGUGGCGAAGGCGGCUUACUGGCUCAUACUGGACGCUGAGGUGCGAAAGCGUGGGGAGCAAACAGGAUUAGAUACCCGUGUAGUCCCUGUCUCUUAUAC